GACUGUGAGAGCCGUCAUCUCCAAAUGUGAAAACAAUCUUGCAACAGUAGCUAAUCUGCCCAGGAGUGACCAGCCUAGCAGAAUUACUUUCAAGAGCACAUAGAAAACUCAUCAAGGAAUUCAAAGCAGACCCCAGACAAACAUCUAAGGAACUGCAGGCUUCUCUCAGACACUGGAAGUCAGUAUUGAGGAACCAGCUUCUCCGGGUCAAGGGAUCAUGUGGUUUUUUAAUCCAGAGAAGAGGUUUACAUCUCCAGCACUGACUCACUCACCAGUUAUGCUACAGAUUGCACAUUGAAGAGAACAUGCUUUUUAAAAUUUGUUUCCUGGUUGAAUUUGGAGAUGUGUUUCAUUGUCCACCCUGUUUGUGCACCAUAGGGUUUGGGGAAAAUAAAAUUCUUGAUGUGA